rnacentral:rRNA from 1 species
AACGAACGCUGGCGGCAGGCCUAACACAUGCAAGUCGAACGAGAUCUUCGGAUCUAGUGGCGGACGGGUGAGUAACGCGUGGGAACGUGCCCUUCUCUACGGAAUAGUCCUGGGAAACUGGGUUUAAUACCGUAUACGCCCUUCGGGGAAAGAAUUUCGGGGAAGGAUCGGCCCGCGUUGGAUUAGGUAGUUGGUGGGGUAAUGGCCUACCAAGCCGACGAUCCAUAGCUGGUUUGAGAGGAUGAUCAGCCACACUGGGACUGAGACACGGCCCAGACUCCUACGGGAGGCAGCAGUGAGGAAUCUUGGACAAUGGGGGAAACCCUGAUCCAGCCAUGCCGCGUGAACGAUGAAGGCCUUAGGGUUGUAAAGUUCUUUCGCCUGGGAAGAUAAUGACGGUACCAGGUAAAGAAGCCCCGGCUAACUCCGUGCCAGCGCCG